rnacentral:rRNA from 1 species
UACGUAGGGGCCUAGCGUUGUCCGGAUUUAUUGGGCGUAAAGAGCUCGUAGGCGGUUCGGCAAGUCGGAUGUGAAAUCUCCACGCUUAACGUGGAGGGGCCAUUCGAAACUGCCGUGACUCGAGUCCGGUAGGGGAGUGUGGAAUUCCCGGUGUAGCGGUGAAGUGCGCAGAUAUCAGGAAGAACACCCGUGGCGAAGGCGGCUCUCUGGGACGGUACUGACGCUGAGACGCGAAAGCGUGGGGAGCGAACAGG